rnacentral:lncRNA from 1 species
CAUAUAUAUAAAGAAACUGUAAUAUUUUUAUGUCCGAAUAUUUAAAUAAUAUUGUUAAAUACCACGGAAUUCUAAGUGAAUGGAGGACUUCUUUUCCGGGGGGAAAAAGAAAAAAAAACAUUCCUUAAUGAGGGACGAAUAAUCCAAAAAUUCCUGGCUAAGAGUUAUUAUCAGACGACGAAGUACCUUAUGACUAUUCAAGGGUUUGCUCACUCUUUCUUCAGCAUGGUGAUGUGUCUGUGAGAGUAUUAACAAAUGAAGGGAUUUCGAAAAUACAAGAUACAUCCACAGGGGAUUGAAGAAAAAACUUCAAUAGCGUUAUUUGGUGACUGUUGCUGUUCAUAGCAAAUCUUCUAAAAUAUAUUUCCAUUUAGGACCAGAAACGUCCAAGAUACGCUUCUAAAGCCACUACAUCUGCUAGGAUAUCAAGUGUAAAUGAAGCCAUCAUUCAAGCAGAGCAAGCUUUUGUCCUAGCGGACUGUGUCAUUGAUAUCAAUAACUGUUGUUCAAAUUGUCAAUUAAAUGCUUCCAAGUAACAUUCAUUCAAUCAUAAAACUGAAGACUUACUUUAA